AUAUAGGACAACAUUUAAUUGGGGCUGGCUUAUAGGUUCAGAGGUUCAGUUCAUCAUCAUCAAGGCAGAAACAUGGCAGCAUCCAGGCAGGCAUGGUACAGGAGGAACUGAAAAUUCUACACCUUCAUCUGAAGGCUGCUAGCAGAAUACUGGCUUCCAGGCAGCUAGGACUAGGGUAUUAAAGCCCACACCCACAGUAACACACCUACUCCAAGAAGGCCACACCUGCAAAUAAUGCUACUCCCUGGGCCAAGCAUUUUAUACUUUCCUGGUCCCUGGAGUUACCUGAGGCUGUGUAUUCAAAUCUCAAGAUCCGCGGUGGCCCAGUCUCACCAAAAUAAAGAACGACACAGCACAAACCUCUCACACACUGUGGCAGUUGUUUCCUGCUUCGUAAAUGGGAUUCCAGAACUUUCCAAUGCCUGUUACACUUUGGAAAUGGGUAGCCUGCUAUGGCCGGACAAGAAGAUCAAGAUGUGAGCUCUCAACCCUUCCUGCCGCCAUAACUUUGCUUCACCAUCGUGGACUCUAACCCUCUGAUACAAAUGUUUUAUCCUGGAAAUGUCAACUCACACAGCCACAUGCUUCUCUCACCUGAGAUUCCCCUGCCUAAGCUCGACCCUGGAGCUGGACUCAACCUGUGGGAUUUUAAAGAGAGGAAAAGCCCAGGUGGGAGUUGCAUGACUGGAGCCCGGGAUGUCUAGCCACUAGAAAUGAAGGGAAACCCAGGAUGGGAAUCAUAAUAAGCCACAGAUGUGACAUCAAGCCUGCUGGAUGAUUCAUCAGCUUCCACAGCUGGCUUCUCAGUCUGCAGGCGCUCCGGGUCACUUCCAUGUGCUGAAGGAGGACGCAUCCUUCCUACUCUUUCUCUCUGAGCUUUGGAAAUCUGCCAGAAAGGCCUGAUGGCAGCCUUAGGAGCUGUAUGGGCAGCACCAGAGGAGUCCUUAGCCAAAAGCUCCAAGCUCUUCUGGGGAUCAAUGAGCCUCAUCUGUUGGGCCUUACUCAAAGGUAGCCUUUCCACCAAGAUAAUUGGUUUAGCACAAAGGAGCCAUUGUGGUCUAGACCUCACAGUUGAUUGCUGGGUUAAGAUAAGUGUGGCUCUCUCCUUCUUUCCCCCUGGAGGCCUCAGGGAGUCAAGUACUUUUGACCAUGUGAAACAGAUAUCCUCCUUCCCAUUGAGAAUGAUGUGGGUGCAGGGGAGGAAGGGAGAUGUGAGCAUCCACUGUUCCACGGUUAGCAUGUGUUUUUACCCCUCAUCUUCACACAAGCUGCAGACAUCUCCUCUCACCAGAGAGUUGAGGACAAUGUAGUGAUCAAAGGCCCUCCAGAUAAGUGGAAACUCUGCCCCUCAAAUAAUUUGAUGACCCAAACUAGCCCAAUUAACAGCAUUCCUCUUCAAAGCAUUUUCUCCUCUCAUGUUCUUAUGUAUCUAUAUAUGUAUUUUUCGAUUCAAAUUAAUUACAGAAGGUACAGAAAAUAAAUACCAUACAAAUAGGAAACUUGAAAUCAGAGACAAUUGCCAUUAGUAAUUUUAUACAUCUUUAAAGCUUUUAUUAUUUUUUAGCUUAUUAUAUUUAUUAUUCUUAAUAAUAAAUUUUUUUUCUUCCACCAAACCUUCCCAAGCCUUUUCCUACUCCUUCUCAAAUUCAUAGCAGCCUUUUCUUAUACAUGGCCUUGGCUUAACAACAACACAUCAUGUCUGACUUUCCACACAAAAGGUUACACAUUUUCUUUGGCUGCAGCCCUACAAACUGCAAAACCUAGGUACCAUCCUAUAUCAUCAGGCUCCUUGUUACAUUCAGCCACAUCUCAACAACUGUCGUUCAUGCAGCAGUAAGCCAAAUUCUCUCCUCAAGAUAAAUUGCCAAAGCUCAAAAUAAACACUAAUUUAAGGCUUUGGAAAUACCUUUCCAGAGAAAGAUGGUAUUCACUAAUAGUUUCACUAGCGCUGAAAAGGGGCAUAAAGACCUUUCAAAAGAACAGAGCAAACUGAAGAGUCCCCACAUAGCACUAACAGAGCCAGCAAGCCGGGUUUCUCUGUCUCGUCAUAACCUGACUCUCAAUAUACUGACGUCAGGACUUAAUCAUUCACACCAGAAGAUGUAAACGAUUCUCCCUCUGGUGUCCUCAUCUCAAAGUUGUGAGGCGAGACAGUCGUAGAGACAGUUGAUAUCCUAGAGCAGUGGCCAGCUCACAAUGAUCUGAACAACAUUGCUACUGUGUAGAACAUAGGAUGAAAGCACAGACAAGAUUUUCAUGGUAUAAAAGCCCACACGUCUAAGGUACAGACUUACAUGCGAAUCUAACACAAUUCAUUGCUUAAAUGGCAGCUCUUGUCUGGUUGCUUUAUAAAUCUCAAACUUCUCUGAUCCCAUAGAAAUCCUAUAACAAGAAAGAUGAUGUUUUGAUCCUAGUAUUUUUUUCCAGACCAGGCUAAGUACUUUGUUAGAGUUAGACUCCCUGUGUCUAACCACAAAGCUGCUUUGCCCACUAGAUGUCCCCCAUCCCACUAAAAUUAUUCUCAACAGUGUCCGCAUCCAGGGACACUGAAAGGUCCAUUCUCCAGUAAGCAGGAAACACACUAUCCCACUGGGAGAGCCACAGAAAGAAACAUGAAGAAAACAACAUUGCCCACAAAAAUGAAAAAGAAAAAGAAAACCACUUCAUACCCAAAAUAACUAAAAUGACUUUAGAUAGUAAUGUACUCCCCGCAUCCAGUUUACUCUUGGUCUCACUCGUCAUUCAUCAACUUCGGUUACCCCAUUUCCUGCAGAGACCUAUCUGCUCCUUCAAUAACUAGAGCUGGGAAAUUGAAGUUCUUUGACAGUUUGACAUAUGUCAUAGCUUUCAGUCUGUAAAACAACCAGUUUGAAGGUUCUGGGGUUCAAUAAGUCAGAGCCAGAAUCUGAGCACGAUGGUUUGCCUGACGUCUCCUCUCUAUUUUCAACUCCAUGCUUUUGUGAGCUUCCAACUGGCAUGGAAAUCAUGCAUAAAUUUACAGAAGAUAAGCAGACACGUUGAAAGACAUAAGUAUGUAGGGGCAUUGGUUAGGCAGAUCUGAUGGAUAGUCGACUCACAUAUAAUGUUACAUGCAUUUGAAAUUCAGCCGCCUGAUAAACUUUCCCCCACAAUUCAAGACCUUGCUUUAUUUCUAAACUUUAGACAACUUCUUAUUCCAUGAGCAAUAGAAUUUGUUCUUAAAUCUCACCACAACUUGCCUUCUUGUCUCUCUGCACUUGAUGGAAAAAUCAAACCCAUUGUUGCAUUGUUUAUUGAUAUGCCCACUCACACAAGUGAGCCUGUGCAGGCCUCUUCUGCUCUGCUGCGAAAACAGCCUGAGGCUGACUCUCUCAUCCUAAAAACAUACACAUGUGUGUGCACGCACACACAUACCCUGACUCCCCCCCACCUCCCCACACCUUACACCUACGUACACAAACCAUUUGCAAUCCUACAUUCCUCUGGACCUCAGAUGACAAGCUAUCACCACUCCUUACAGUCUUUCAACUUUAAAAUCUCUGCCCUGUGCCAUUGUAUUUUUAAUGGUCUGAGUGUUGAGUCCUGAAAAAUUCAGAUGUCACAAUCCUAAUCACCAAUGUGAAAUUCAAAGACAGGGCCCUUUAACGUGUAGCUAGGUCAAGAGGUGGAGGCCUCACAAAUGAGGAGUCCAUCCUUUUUAUAAGACAGGCUGAGGCCACCUGUAGCUCCUUCCCCCAUAUGAGGAUUAGAGAAGACUGUCUACGAGGGUGUAGCCCUCAGAGAUAGCAAUGGUCAGCUCCUUGAUGGUAGACUUUCCAGGCCCCAGAGCCAUGUGGAGCUUGUUUCUGCAUCUGUUUCUCAGUCAAUGGUAUUUUGCUAUAACAGUGCAGUCUUAAUGCAUUUUCCAGAGCCUCACACACUAACCCAGCUUCAAUAAAUCUUAGCAUUUACCUCUUUAUCAAGGUAAUAAACUAUUAUAAAUAUAGCAGAAACUUUCAUAUACCACCUCUUAACCCCUUCUAUCUCCCCCCACAAAUGUUUAUGUCACACAUGACUUACACCUUUUAUUAAGUGCACACAUUUUAAUGAGUGAUAUUUAAUCUUCCAGUACUCUUAUUAAACAUCCUUUUUCAAUAGCACCAUUGUUAAAACUUUCAACAUUGCUUCCGAGAUUUACUUUCAUGAGAUAUGUAAGAUUAGAUGGCCACACUUGGAUGGGAUGUCCCUGUGUGUUCAUGUCACAUUGUGUCCAUGCAGCUGCUGAAAUCAUUUCCAUUUAAUCUCUGUCUUCAUUCCUUUCUAAGUUUUCAUCAUCCCCAGCCUGAGUCAUCACGGAAGCCUGUUGUAUGUUCUUUAAGAUGGCAUACAAAGCCCUCUGGACUUGGCUUGUCUCACCUUUGCACUGUCCUACCCUUUGAUUGGCUCUAUAUAAAUGCCUUUGUUGCCAGCGCGCUUAAUUCUCACUGUCCCUUCCACCUGUCAGGUUUCAUCCUGUCUGAUACUCCCCCAGAUCCGUGUAUGACUGACCACCCAACUUUUCACUUUCCAGGAUCAACUGUCUUCCUCUGAUAGACCUACCCUGUGUGUUCUCUCUAUAGGACUCCAGAGUCCUCGCCUUGUCCCUGUUUCUGUCCUCGGCACUCUCACAACUGUCACGCAUCCAUACAUCUUGUUCAUUUGCAUACAGUUUACUGUCUAACUUCCCACCAAAAUGUACAUUGUAUGAGAGCGAGUCCUGCUUAUCUACCGCCUUAGCGUCUUUGACAGUUUCUGAUCCUGAUUGGUUGGUUUGUAAUUAGAAGGAAGGACAAGAAAUGGACAAAGGCUAGAGCAAUUGAAUAAACAAAGGAAUGAGAGUUCAACCCAGAGGCAUGAGUUCUUUUGGGGACUUAGCUUCUGGCCUUUCUUAGCUUGACCGAUGCCAUAAAACAGCACUGACUGGGUAGUUCAAGCAGGAGGAGUUCAUUAGCACAAGUUCUGGAGGUUUAAAGUCCUAUUUCAAGGUACCAGCAUGACCAAUUUCUGACGAAGCUUCUCUUCGUGGCUUCAUCUCAGUAUUCUCAAUGCCAGGAGUUAAUUGGUUUGUAUAAAAGGCCCUAUUCUCAUUACCUUAUCCAAUUCUAAUUACCUUUGAAGUGCCCGUCUAUAAAUUCCACCAACUGAGGGUUAGGGCUUUAAUGCAUAGGUCAGAGGAGUAUAGUUCAGUUCUCCCUCUCUCUUCCCUCUGUGGGCCCAAGAAUGAUCAUUUUUAUAAGUAGUUUUCAGUAAAGUGCUCACAUCUCCUUUGCUCCUCCCUGCUGUCCUGUGUACUUGUAAUAUUUUCCAGUGCCUACUUGGCUGCCACCCACAUUCAAUAUUGUGAAGUCCGUGAGGAUUUGCCAACCCUUCAUCAUGUUACGUCUGGUACAAUGACUGGCAGGUAGAAAGGAUAUAAGUAUGCACUGAUUGAAUAAAAAAUUCUUGAGAAAAUCCUACCACCUAAGAAGGCACUAAAAUAUGACUAAGGUCACUAAUAUUUAUAUUCUGAGGCACAUAAGAACUACUCAGAGCAGUAGUCCCAAUAAAAAUGUCUGCUUGUCAUUCAUUAUCAUGGCAUUAAGGCUCCAUAUGAGUUCUAAGACAGUCUAUAUGGAUUGCUUAUAUUAUUAAAUUAAAUUAUAGUAUUAAAUCACCAUAGACUGAGCCACCUACAUAAUAGAAUUUUAUUAUCCCACAUGUCUAGGGAACACUGUGAGGUAAGUUGGCAGGGUCGGGGCCUCCUGAGGGCCCUGAGGUGCCUCGUGACCUUAUACAUGGUCAUCUAUUGCUUUGUCAUCCUUCAUUGCCCACCCUAUAACCAUCCGUGUCAGCUUUCUAUAAGACAGAAGUGUACUGGGUCAUCUAUCAUCAUCUAUGUCCAAUGUCUGUCUAUAAGACAGUAGUUGUACUGACUUGAGACCACCAUGGUGAGCUCAUGGUCACUAAUUACCACUCUAAAGAUUCUGUAUCUGAAUGUAGUCUCAGAUGAGUGUCCCAUUAAUUAAGACUUUUAAUGUAGAGAAUUAGAUGGAGAUAGUAUUGGGCCUCUAGCACAAUUUUGCCAUGAAAAUGAGAAAAACAAGAGGCAAGGGGUACAAGCCAUCAGACAAAAGCAAGGAGAAAAGAGACACCCAAAAACCCCGAAGAGAAGGAGAGAGCAUACCUGCAGGAGUUAAAUACAGAAGGGGGGGGGAAGUAUGCACAGGAGAGAAAAAAAAAACAACAAAGUAGAAGACAGAGACUAAACAAAGACAGAACCAACUCGUGUUAAUGAACAGGGGCUUGGGCAAAAUGCUUGGGUAUAUUUAGAACAGCCAAUUUAAAGGAGCAGGAAAGGCUAUAAUACGUUUUAUAAAGCAGUCCUUCAAUUGUGGCCAUGUGGUUUCAAAGAUUGCUUCUUAGAAGGUAAGCCUCUAGGCACAUGAAAAUCGUUAGCUGCUUAAAAAGAGUUGGCUUCCACUGAUCCGAUGGCUUCCGGUGGCUUGCAUUGCAGAGUAAGCCACCUCCCAUCACAGAGCAGAAAAGGAGGACAAUAUACCGGGAGUUAAAAAUUAAUUAAAGGGCUGGAGAGAUGGCUCGGCGGUUAAGAGCACUGCCUGCUCUUUCAGAGGUCCUGAGUUCAAUUCCCAGCAACCACAUGGUGGCUCACAACAACCUAUAAUCAGGUCUGGUGCCCUCUUCUGGCCUGUAGUUGCAUACAUGCAGGCAGAAAGCUGUAUGAUGUAUACAUAAUAAAUAAAUAAAUAAAUAAAUAAAUAAAUAAAUAAAUAAAUAAAUAAAUAAAUAUUUUUAAAAAAUUAAUUAAAUAGCAGGAAUUCCUUUACGUCUUGAUUCUUUCCUCUCACAUUCCUCUUGGCCUCCUUCAUUCUAGGGUACCCACUUGACUCUCUAGGAGGAGUGAAUCAUGGGUAAGGAACCACAUGGGAAGGGGCUGCAGGGGUAGAGUAAGAGAGGAGAGACUGACUUAGGAGGUGAGUCACACUUCAGAGAUUGUUGCCAUUAAUAGCGUUACUUGGCAAGAGCUUCCUGAAUCAUCUCACUUCCUGAACAGGGUGGAUGUCUGUUGAGAUUUAAAUUGAGUUCAUAGAUUUCAAAAUGAUGGAAAAGCAUGUAGCUCACUAAAGCUGCAAGGUUUAUGUUAAGUGUUUAUAUAGUGACAGAGUAGCACCAGAAAGGUGUAUGAGCUGCUCUUGGCAGUCACCUGCUUUCAUAUUACAAGGGUUUGCUUCUUUUGCCUACUUCUGGUUAAUAAUGAUAAUAAUAAUAAUAAUAAUAAUAAUAAUAAACAAUGUUAGUUUUAGAUUUAAGAUGACAUUUUAAAUUCAGUCUAGGUAUCUAAAUUCAUGUCUUUUUAACUCUGAUUUCCCCCAGUUUGCUACUCACCGGCUCCCUUUGUAGUGUGUAUCAUUUCCUUAUAAGAAAUUAGACAUGUUUGAGUUUCUGUUAAUGACAUGGAUAAGGUAAAGCAUGUGUUCUGGGAAAGGAGUCACCUCCCAAAAUACAGAGAAGGAUUGAAUGGCAGAGAGCCACAUAAGCUUAAUCAAAACGAAUUGGAAUGCUGGUUUAAUGUCGAAGGGCCCCAGAUGUUCGUUAACUUCCCUGGAAGAGCCCUUUUCACCAUGAGUCCAUCCUAAAGGCAAACUUGGCCCUUUGCUACAUCUCUAAAACAACUCCAACAUCCUAUGUGUUUUGUAAGUCACACCAAGAAUGCCUAAAGAGAGGGGUGGGGGGUCAGGCGGAUGAGGGCGAGGCAGAUAAAUUACAUCACACAUUGCCCACACGAAUCUAGGAAAAAUUAAGCUUCCUGCUCACCCCCAAACCCCUUUCUCUCUUCUGCCCAUCAAAAAAGAAAAUAUUUUCCGCUGUUAUUAAAUUCAAAUCCAGUCUUUAACUGGAGCUCUUUAGCUACCGGAAGGAAAGCCAAGCAGAUGGCCAACAGUGUCUUUCACAAAUAGCACUCAUCAAAACUGCAACAAAAAUAAGUAAUUAAUGAUGAUUUUUCGUCAAUCAAGUCUAUCCCUGAAGUAUACAUAAAAACGAAUGGGGAAGGCAAUAAAAUAAAAUUUAAAAUAGGUGCUAUAAAAAUACAUGUGUGAGUGUGGUGCAUGAGUGUGUGUGUGUGUGUGUGUGUGUGUGUGUUUGUGUCUGUGUGUCUGUGUCUAUGUCUGUGUCUGUGUCUGUGUGUGUGUCUGUGUGUGUGUGUGUCUGUGUGUCUGUGUAUGUGUGUGUGUGUCUGUGUGUGUGUCUGUGUCUAUGUCUGUGUAUGUGUGUGUGUCUGUGUGUGUGUGUGUCUGUGUGUCUGUGUAUGUGUGUGUGUGUCUGUGUGUGUGUCUGUGUCUAUGUCUGUGUAUGUGUGUGUGUCUGUGUUUGUGUGUAUGUGUCUGUGUCUGUGUCUGUGUGUGUGUCUGUGUCUGUGUGUGUGUGUGUCUGUGUGUCUGUGUGUCUGUGUCUGUGUGUCUGUGUCUAUGUGUGUGUGUCUGUGUGUGUGUCUGUGUCUAUGUCUGUGUAUGUGUGUGUGUCUGUGUGUGUGUGUCUGUGUGUGUGUGUGUCUGUGUGUGUGUCUGUGUCUGUGUGUGUCUGUGUGUGUGUGUGUGUGUGUGUGUCUGUGUCUGUAUGUAGUGGUAGUGGCAGUGAAGUCCUGUAGUUAAGAGAAGAUUACUUUCACCAAGUGGGUACAUACAGACGCUCAUAUACCCAUAGACACACGUGGACAAGCACCAGUUUAAAGACAGACAAGGACUCUUUCAGCUUUGACCUUAGCCUCCCCUUGCCCCAAACUUUGGAACUGACAACUUUGGAGCUCCAGGUGACAAGAUGGGGCUUUCUAACUUAAGCUGCCUUUGUGUGGAAAUCUUGUCCUGUAUAGAGUCUCAAAACUCAGGAUUUUUGUAAAGAGAGAAAAUCCACAUUCCUGUCAUAUGAGACAAUGUACACAUUAACUUUCCUGACUAUGUAACUGUUUCCCUGUACAUCAAAAUAUUCCACAUAACCUAAAGAUACACAAUGCAGUAUAGUUAGUGUUUUAAAAAGUACAUUGCAGUAGUGUUUCUUAGAACACAUGGAGCCUUUCAAAACAAUUAUUUUUUUAAGAAAUCAAAAAAAUCCUAUACUGUUACAUACUAUACCCAUAUCUAUACUGCUGUAUACCCAUAUCCUAUACUGCUGUAUACCCAUAUCUAUACUACUAUAUACCCAUAUCAUACACUGCUCUAUACUCAUAUCUGUACUGCUUUAUACCUAUAUCAUACACUGCUCUAUACUCAUAUCUGUACUGCUUUAUACCCAUAUCAUACACUGCUCUAUACUCAUAUCUGUACUGCUUUAUACCUAUAUCAUACACUGCUCUAUACUCAUAUCCUAUACUGCUAUGUUCCUAUAAUCAUACACUGCUAGAUAUGCAUAUCCUAUACUGCUGGAUACUCAUAUCCUACACUGCUCUAUACUCAUAUCUGUACUGCUGUAUACCCAUAUCCUACACUGCUGUAUACCCAUAUCCUACACUGCUGUAUACCCAUAUCCUACACUGCUGUAUACCCACAUCCUACACUGAUGUAUACCCAUAUCCUACACUGCUGUAUACCCAUAUCCUACACUGCUGUAUACCCAUAUCCUACACUGCUGUGCACUCAUAUCCUACACUGCUGUAUACCCAUAUCCUACACUGAUGUAUAUUCAUAUCCCACACUGUUGUAUACCACACUGUUAUAUAUCUCAUCUGGCUGAUCAAAAUGACCUGUAGUUAGAAGUACCGAGACAGCUUCCUCUCAUCUGCAACCAUUCUAGGCCAAGCAGCAUCUAAAGCUACGUAGAACCAAAGGGUAAAAAGAUUUACCUUGACAACUGUCACAUAUCCAAAUUCGAGCUUUUUUCCAACCAUUUAUGCCAUCACUCGACAACCGGCUAGUAAUUGUCCACUUACCGUUUCCAAGCAUGUGGGCCGUGGCUCGUAAAGUCAGGGUGGCCACGGAGGAAAACCUAGCCUGCAGUUUCCAUCAAAUCCGUCUGAACUGCAGACAGGGCUUGAGUCAUCCUGACUCUGCUUGGUUAUUGAAGUUAUAUGGAAACUUUCUUCCAUGCCUUGGCCCUGCUGCUGGCUCUGACAACUGCUUCCAGUCUUCGGGUGCUCUGUGCUGCUCUCCCUAACUGGUCCCCGAAACACGACAUGGCUUUAUUCUUCUGUCCUCUCUCACACUAUUUCUGUGUUUCAGGAUAUAUGCUGACAGGUUACCUCUGCUCCUCCUGCUUCAGAAUACAGACACACUUUAGAUUUCUACACUUGACUUCUUAUUAGCCAUCACUUCUCAAAACCAAUUCGGCUAUGCAGUGUGGAUUGGCUGCUUGGUUGCGCUGGACGUCCUUGAUAAAAACAACUAUCAAGUGGUAGCGUCUCUCAUCACAGACUCAUCUGUGACUCUUAGGUAGCUGGCAUCCAUUCUGAUGAGGGGUGUGGAGAUAAGAACUGGAAAACUAGUUUCUUAAGGAAAUAUGCAUUUCUAGGGGUUGGGGAUUUGGCUCAGUGGUAGAGCGCUUGCCUAGGAAGCGCAAGGUCCUGGGUUCGAUCCCCAGCCCCGGAAAAAAAAAGAAAAAAAAAAAAGAAAUAUGCAUUUCUAGAAGACCAGGAAGAACUAAAAUUAAUGUAGGAAACCUUAUAUGGGAACAGUUGAGAGCUCCCAGGAAAAAGCUUUCAGGGCAAUGGAAUCAAGUUGCUCUGAGGACAUCCAUGCCCUCAGUGCAGGAGGCUGCACACUGAGGCACGGUCCUCUGUUUUCUGAACCUCAUUUAGUUCAACUGUACUAUCUCUCAGUGUUGUGUAAAUGCUAGACACAAAAGCUCUGUGAGUGCGUAUAACAACAAGGCAUCCGCACAGGGCCAUGGAGUGAUCAGUAGUACCGUGUCAUUUCCACGGCUUGAUAUGUACAAUAGGCCCAUCAGGUGUGAACAUUGGGGAAGAUGGCCAAAGAACGACUCCAGCCCUUUGAGCUUAUUUUUUAACUUCUUGUCAGUCUGUAAUAGUUUUCAUAAUACACUUUGAAAAUUCUGAAAGACAUUUUUAAAAAAAAAUCUUCCCAGAAGAAUUUCCCAUUACACUAACGAAAUAAUACUAAAAUUUGGCUUGCCCCAUUUCUAGUAUAUUUUAUGUCUAAAAGUACUAUGCCUUUCUACUUUAGUUUUUCCUCUCCCAGUACCUCCCAGGUUCCCUCCCCUAGUGCCCAGAAUACAAGCUACUCAACAAACACUGAAAGAAAUGAUAGAUUCAACAAAAUCGUAGCUAGGCUAGACAUGGGCUGGAGAAUUGAAUGAGGCAGAUGACCCCAGUCAGUGAGGCAGACAACCAAGUCUUCCAACGGAUUCCUCUCAUCGUAGCCAUCAACUGAAGACUUGAGUCUAAAUUGGUGCUCUUGAUGUAUGAAAGUUCAGUUUAAACUCUCAGCCUGAAGGCAGAACCUGAGGGAAGAGCUGGGGGAACCCUUGCAGAACAAACAUGUUUACGGAGCGGCGAUCCAGGUGAGGUGAAAGAUUUAUCCGAAUCAACUGCUGUGUCCAGUCUGUCUGAACCACAGUGCCCAACCCAGUGUAAAUUUGUGGUUUUGUUCAUAAUAUGUUCCAGUGAUGGGAUUAAUUAUGCCUCUGAAUGUGGAGGAUAAAAUUGUCCUUAGGAUUUAAGGAUAUACCAGUGACAAGGGAUUGUCAUCAAGAUUGACCAAAGGAAAAGUUCAGGGCCACCACAAGCAGUAAGGAUGGACUGACUCAUCCUACAGGAAGUAAGAGAGUCAAACUUCCAAAUCAAAGGCAGCAACCAACAGGCACCAUCAACACAUCUGCUGGCACUGUGCCUAACCCACGCUGAAGGGACACCCCUGAUUUCUUCUCUAAAAGCUUCUUACGCUAUCAAGAGUGUAUACAAUACCCGUGGAACCUGGCUUGUGUCUAGUAAUUCACUCCCUGUGAAGUAAAUACUAAGUAAUCACCUUUUGUGGAAAAGAGAAAACUCCACUGUACUAGGUAAGGAGUCUACAACGGGGAGACAGAAUUUAACCCCAAUCCACUGUCUGAAACUUAGGGAUGAACUCACAGCCUCCAGGGGAUCAAACAACCCUUUCACAGGGGGGCCGCCUAAGACCAUCAGAAAACACCAAUAUUUACAUUAUUAAUCAUAACAGUAGCAAAAUUACAGUUAUGCAGUAGGAAUGAAAAUAAUUCUAUGGUUGGUGGUUACUACGGCGUGAGGAGCUGUACUAAAGGGUCACAGCGUAAGGAAGACUGAGGACAACUGAUCUAGUCACUGCUGUCACUUGGCGCUCAAGUAAGGAUGCCGCGCUAGAGGAGUCUUUAGGAGAUUAUUAGCAACAAGUAGGGCAGGUACCGUGUUAAGGAGACAAAACAGAAGGAGUCGCUGCAGUGGUCUAUGGCAAAUUUUCUUAACUUUAAGAACAAUCAACUAAUUGUCCUGUAGUCCUUUGUCACUCCUAGAAAGCGCUGUCAUUGACAAGUCAGCAAUGUACUCAGUGGCCUCCCCAGACUUCUAAACCUGGGAACCUUAAUUUGCUCAUUAAGAAACAUGAAAACGACAGAAUAGAGCUGCUCCUUUAGCCCCACAUCCAGUGGGACAUACACUUUACUACUUGUUAUUCCAGCUACAUUCAUCCUGUGGGUUUGGGAUGAGUCUAAAUUGCCCCGAUUCCCUGUCAUUGAAGGGCUGAGGUUUGCUGCUGUCUGGAUGUUUAUCCAAAUCCCAGUCCCCUGACUGAGGGAGUGAUCAUGGUCCACCAGGGACACAGUGUAAAGAGGAAGUCAUUUCCUCCGAGAGCCUUGUUUGUGUUUUUGACAACUGUUUCAGUUUAUAAUCCAUUUCCAUUCCCAUAUCCUGCCCUCCAAAAGUAAACAGACGACAGCCGUGGUGAUGUGGGGGUGUGGGUGGAAGAGGAGGAAAGAGAUUUCCCCAGAGCAAGAGGAUGUUUUUAGCGAACCCAAUUUAAUUUGAAAUAAACUCAAAUCCCCAAGCCAGAUAGAGCAUAGGCAUUAAGAUCAGCCCAGUUCACAAGCAUAAACAUAGCCUCCAGAAACCCCAUCUAUGCGUACUGCAUGGUCACACACUACUGGAAAUUCUUAUAUCAGACUCCAAUAGCGCUGGUGGUCAAUAGUGAGCUUCUUUAUGUGAACAGGCACACGUCUUUACCCACCUUCCUCAUCUGUCUACCCAACCACACAGCAGGGAAGGAGCUCUUUCCCGGAUCAGAAACCAGUGACCAUUAUAUCUAAGUCUUUGCAGAAGCACAGACUCUUCUCUCAAAUUAUGACUCUGAAAACUGUCCCUGGAAGUUUUUUGGUUUUCAUUUCUGGGUUUUUCCCCCCCCAAGGAUACAAUUUCGCCAAGAGAAUACAUUUUUCAAAACUCUAAGUUUAGAAAAUAAGUCAACCUUUAGAGUUUCUCUUCUCUCCGACUCUUUUCCCAAGACCUUAGCUGACAUCCUCGCGUUAGAAAAGUCCCCUCUCUACAAUGAUAACUCAUUGUAAUUUCUUGUUUUUGAAUUUUGAGACAGGAUGUCUCUGUGUAGCCUUGGCUUUCUUGGAACUAGUUCUGUAGAUCAGACUGGCCUCGAAUACACAGAGAUCCACUUGCCUCCCAAGUGCUGGGAUUGAAGGCGGGUGCCAUAUCUGGGCUUCAUUGUGGUUUUGAUUCAGUAAAAUAGGACCUCAUAGAAAUAUCCCUUUUGUAUAUGCUUAUUUAUCAAACUACAUAUAGCCAAAACUACCGGUAGCACAUGGUCCACUUACUCCAUGGCAGGCAUUUAAGCUGUGUUAAAUUCCAUGUAUAAAAAAAGCCUCUCAAGGGUGCUGGAGAGAUGGCUCAGGGUUAAGAGUACCAGCAGCUCUUCCAGAAGAUCCAGGUUCAAAAUGUCCGGCACCUGCACGGAAGCUCACAACCAUCAGUAACUCCGAUUCCAGGCGAUCCCCCUGAUGCUUUCUGUUCAAUACAGGUACCAGGCAUCAAGUGGCACACGGAUGCGUGCACACAGAGGCAAAACUCUGUACAGAAUAAAAACGAAAGCCUUUCGAAAUGUGCGUAGUUACAUAUUUUACUGCCAACAGACAACAAAGGAAAACCCCGUUGUCUGAAAUUAUUGAGUUUUAUUCUAUGAAAGUAAAAUAUCAACUUGCAAAGACCAAGGUAUGAUCCUUAGGGAUGCUCAAGUUAUCCUUCCUUACCACACACGUGCCACUUACCACACAGGUCUUGGGGACCAGACUGCAAAGCACAAGUCACUCGCUGAAAUGUCACAUGGCAGCUGCUGUGCUCUCCUCAAAAAUGUUUCCAUUUUGUCAAAUGGCUUUACACAUCUAUUCAAAUAAUGGUUUCGAAUGUGGGCAAAUAUGUCUUCAGCUGCAAAAUUUCAGAGACGGGCUGUGUUUUUUCCUGAUAAAAGUCAAGGCCAGUGAGGAGCUCCACAUCACGGACCCGGGCGAUGUGUGCUUUAAAUCUCUCUUCAACCCAAAGGUCUUCUGCUUUGUUUUCCUGAAAAAUAAAACAUAAAACAAUUUUCCA